rnacentral:pre_miRNA from 1 species
CGGGGGAGGCCGGAUCCUGGGCUGUGUCCCGGCGCCCUGUGCUCCAGGGCCUGCGAUGUUGGAUUCGCGCUCCCGCCCCGCAGCCCCCU